GGUGGCUUGGUGUAAUGGUUCAGCACCUGGUCGGCUCCCAGGAGCCUGUGGGUUCGAAUCCCACGGCCACCA
rnacentral:tRNA from 1 species